UGUUGAGUUGCAGUUAUUGGUAUUUGUUUAUAUAUUAAGAGAUCUGCAGUUUCUGGUAUUUUUGUAUAUUGACUUGUUGAUAAUCUUGAAUAUUGGUAUUGAAGUAGCACUUAGGAGUUAGGACAGUGAGAGUCUCAGGAGUUUGAAUCUCAUCAACCCAAACUUUUGCCUCCAACAAUCAUUACGUGCAGUCCCCAUCGCUCGCUACCUCACGCCCACCAUCUACCACCCCCGCCAUCAGUCUUAGCAUCCUCAGCAGCUCAAUCAGGCAUUGCAUCUUCUCGUAAAGUAUCCUGUACUAGUGACAUCUAAAUUCAUGAGGUAUGGUUUUAGCAAAGAAGUUGUUGAGUGCCCAGAUUACUGGCCAUCGAGCAUUCGGGUUUGUGGCUUUUGGUUUCUGCCUAAUGAUGGAUGGCUAUUGUAGGGAAAACUGUGGAAGCCAAUUGAUGAUGGCUGCAUUGCUGCUGGAUAGGAGACUGAAAAAAAUGGCUUGCUAAAUUGCUGCAUCUGAAUUAGGACUUUAGGACUUUAUAUUUCAUUGGAUAUUUGUAUUUGAAUUUGGACACUUUGAAUUCGAAUUUGCAGCUUGAACUUUGUAUCUUGAUAUUGUGUUUUGAUUCAAAUCUUCAACAGCUUGAAAUUUGCAACUAUA